rnacentral:rRNA from 1 species
UACGAAGGGUGCAAGCGUUAAUCGGAAUUACUGGGCGUAAAGGGUGCGUAGGCGGUUCGUUAAGUCUGUCGUGAAAUCUCCCGGCUCAACUGGGAAACUGCAUCGGAAACUGAUCGGCUUGAAGAUGGGAGAGGGUAGUGGAAUUCCCGGUGUAGUGGUGAAAUGCGUAGAUAUCGGGAGGAACACCAGUGGCGAAGGCGACUACCUGGCCCACUCUUGACGCUGAGGCGCGAAAGCUAGGGGAGCGAACGGG